CAGAGGAACAUUUCCACUCGGGAAUGAGAGUGAGAGCAGUUUAUUCUUAUAAAGAUGGCAUGGGAUGGAAAUUCUCUGUAAACCUGGAGGAGAGCUGUGCCUGCAGCAAGCCCCUGGCCCGGCACUGCCAUACCUGGCACACAGCUUUAAGGAUAAACAACCCGGGCUCUCUGGGUCUCUGCUUGUUGGGCUGGCUGCACAGUACUGGACCUCCUAGCAGGCCCGCAUGGGAUCUGGGCAUUUAAUGUUCCUCCUCCUUGUGAGCGGGAAUACAAAUAACUGCAGCCUUCAGCACCUUUGAAGGGGAUGGCCUUGCUGCUCUUUCCUUGCUCUUUUAUGGACUCACUUGGCAGACGAAAGUUCUCUCCAUCAGCGGAAUAGUCUUGGGUUUGGUCACUUUUGAUUGGUAAUGUAUUUAAUAGUGCUUAUAACAUUGCUAAAUAAACAGAAUGAUUACCUUGGAUUUGACGCCCUCUAAAACAGAAGGACAUAAUGUGGAACAUAGAAAUAGAUAUUUAGUAAUUAGUACUUAUCAUGCAGCAUCACAGAGACACUAAUUGUCAGAGCACACACCGACACUGCUCACCUGUCUCAUGGUUUACAUGUACAUUUUCUUACUUGAGUGAUAAUGUUACAAGAUGUGUCUGGAAAGCUGUGACACCAACUCUUUCAUGGACCUCAUUCUUCAAACCAAAAUUAAUUUUGAGUUACAUUUCUAAAGGAAAAAAUAAAAUGGGAAGAACGGAGAAACUUUUCUAGAGAGCCUGUUUCAUGAAUACUCAUCUGCAACCUGGUGGGACAGAGCUCUGAUUGUCAUCUCUAUACCACUUCCUCCCCUGGUCUGCUGGCUUUGUUGACCAUAAAAAUGUGCUCCUAAUUUCCUAAUUUCAAUAGUAAGAUAGAGCAUUUUUGUGAAGUAGGGACCAAUUAAAAA